AAUCCGGAUCUCCGGCGAGGAGAACAGCAUUGCUGCCCUGCCGGAUUGAGAAAUCCGAUUCCUUGCAGAGAUUGAGGGGAUAGGGAGCUCAGCCUUAGGCUGGGUUUUUGGCAGCGGCAAUCGGGUGCCCUGGCUGUGGUGGAUGUCCCGGUCGAGGGCAGUGAUGGCUUUCAUGAAGAAAUCUUUAAAUGAAGACGGGAUUACCCAAACCUUUCCCUUCCCUGCUGCACUAGAAGCCAGGAAUAUCCUGUUGCUUCAGUCUGAAAACGGAACAGUUUAAAAAUCACGAGGAGGUGAGCAAAGAACCUGCUGUGCCCCUGGAUUCUGCAUUUACCACUUUGCUAAAGAGAGCCUAUGAGAGAGGAAGCAAUACCCUACUGGAAGGUGGUGUUCAGACAAAAUUGGCUUCCUG